GACGUAGGAGGCGAGCGUUGUCCGGAUUCAUUGGGCGUAAAGAGCGCGCAGGCGGCUUGGUAAGUCGGAUGUGAAAUCCCGAGGCUCAACCUCGGGUCUGCAUCCGAUACUGCCGGGCUAGAGUCCGGAAGAGGCGAGUGGAACUCCUGGUGUAGCGGUGGAAUGCGCAGAUAUCAGGAAGAACACCAACGGCGAAGGCAGCUCGCUGGGACGGAACUGACGCUAAGGCGCGAAAGCGUGGGGAGCGAACAGG
rnacentral:rRNA from 1 species